AUAUGUGGAACAAAUCUAAAUUUUAUAUUUUUAGUUUUGAACAUAUGUAUAUUGCCGAUUCAAGAACGAUGGUGAUGUCAGAAUUAAGCAGACUGACUAUGUUUCAAAAUUAAAGCUUUUUGAAGUGCUGGUAUUAUGCUGAUAUUAUAUGUUGUAAUACAUUAAUACUCAAUAUUUGUGAAACAAACGACAUAGUGAUGAAGUAAGUAUAACUACUAGUUCCAUCAUAAAAAAUAUCAGUGUUGCCACAUAAGUACGCCGUAAAAUUAUUUCACAAUUAAUUACACGCACUUUUUACAUACUGGCGCUU